rnacentral:rRNA from 1 species
CAGUCGCCACGGUAAUACGGAGGGGGCUAGCGUUGUUCGGAAUUACUGGGCGUAAAGCGCACGUAGGCGGCUUUGUAAGUUAGAGGUGAAAGCCCGGAGCUCAACUCCGGAAUUGCCUUUAAGACUGCAGAGCUAGCAGGUGAGAGAGGUGAGUGGAAUUCCGAGUGUAGAGGUGAAAUUCGUAGAUAUUCGGAAGAGCACCAGUGGCGAAGGCGACUGACUGGACAAGUAUUGACGCUGAGGUGCGAAAGCGUGGGGAGCAAACAGGAUUAGAUACCCGAGUAGUCCCUGUCUCUUAUAC